rnacentral:rRNA from 1 species
CCAGCAGCUGCGGUAAUUCCGGCUCCAAUAGCGUAUAUUAAAGUUGUUGCGGUUAAAAAGCUCGUAGUUGGAUCUCGGCGGCCAGGGGGUGGUUCGCUCUACGGCGUUACUGCCCCAUUUGGCCGUGUGAUUGGCGGAGGUUUCGGGGUGCUCUUCGCUGAGUGACCCGGGGCGCCGUCAGGUUUACUUUGAAAAAAUUAGAGUGCUCAAAGCAGGCUUUCACGCUUGAAUAUUCGUGCAUGGAAUAAUGGAAUAGGACCUCGGUUCUAUUUUGCUGGUUUUCGGAGCUGGAGGUAAUGAUUAAGAGGGACUGACGGGGGCAUUCGUAUUACGGUGUUAGAGGUGAAAUUCUUGGAUCGCCGUAAGACGAACUACUGCGAAAGCAUUUGCCAAGAAUGUUUUCA